rnacentral:rRNA from 1 species
UACGUAGGGUCCGAGCGUUGUCCGGAAUUACUGGGCGUAAAGAGCUCGUAGGUGGUUUGUCGCGUUGUUCGUGAAAACUCACAGCUCAACUGUGGGCGUGCGGGCGAUACGGGCAGACUUGAGUACUGCAGGGGAGACUGGAAUUCCUGGUGUAGCGGUGGAAUGCGCAGAUACCAGGAGGAACACCGGUGGCGAAGGCGGCUCUCUGGGCCUUACCUGACGCUGAGGAGCGAAAGCGUGGGUAGCGAACAGG